GCAGUUUCCUACGUUGAACUCUGGGUAGGAGAGCUCGGUUUUCCUGAUGAAGCGAUGCUUUAAAAAAAUCACACAAGACAGGACUUCCGAGGAAGCUACCCUUAGCUGUAGCCAAAGCCCUGUAGCAGACGCCCUGAACCUCUGUGAACCGAGUGUGGAAGGUGGACUAAUGUCUUCACGCCUUUCCCGGGAUAUCCCUGUUCAUGAGACAGAGGUCAGCACCACAGCUGCCUGUAGCCAAAGGAAGCCCAUUUCCAGGGCUUCCAAGCAGUUAAGGCCCUGCCAGGACCUCUCAGCUCUUGGGGAAGAUACCUCUGAGUCGGCCUCAUUGAUCCAACGGCCACCGCAGAAGCGACAGUCUCGAAACUCAUCCUUACCCAAGGUUCUCCACAAAACCCGCAGGGGAAAGCGAGACCCCAAGAAGCUGGCAGCUGCCAUGGAGCGGGUGAGGCAGUGGGAAAGUCGCCUUCUCCAGAACCUUGAGGAAGCCACGCAGCACCAGCUCACGGUUGAAACCGAGAAAAAGGAACCAGUGAUCCAGCUCAAUACAGAUCAGCCAGACGCCACCUCCGAGGGUCACACAGGCCAUAGACAUUUGCUAUUUUGGACACAUGACCACUAAAUAUAAAGCUAGCGUUACUCUUAAAUGUUUGUACCACCUACUUUAUCAAAAAAAAAAAGUUUGUUCUUUUAUUGUAAAAAUGUAAAGAUCCUUGCCUUCAGCCCCAUCCAUCCCUCCUGUUUUACCCACCUCUUCUUCAGGCACAAGGACAUGCGUGCUGGCUCUUCUCAGAGAGGCAGCUAAAAGCUUGUUGGUAGAGUGGAAUCAGCAGUUACUGGGUGAAACUGAGAACUGAGUUGGAAAAACAGUAUUGACUAGAUGCCAAGGGCACAUAAGGUCUAAGAUGCUCUAAGAGGCAGGUGAGAAGGUUUAUUUUUAAGCUUCAGUUUGGGCGGAAAAUAUUUCUUCCAGUUUGUGUCAGAAUUGAAGGCAUUUUUUUGGAGAGUUCCCAACCUUCAGAAAAAUCAGGAAAUCUACUGCAAAUAGAUGCAGGCUGGCAGCAGCAGCCAUUGGGAUAGUUCAAUAUUUCAUCUACCCCAGUUCUGUGUGUGGUAGGAAUUUACUGUGUAGGAUGUUUUAGCAUUUGUAUCUGAUGAACUUCCCCCUAUGUAAGUGGACUAUUCAGUUGGCUCAUUUUUUUCUUGUAAUUACUACUAUGUUUUAAAAAUACCAGUUAUAAAAAUGAUAAGUCUGUUAACUUUUCAAAUAAAACAUGAAACUAUAAAGAAA